rnacentral:misc_RNA from 1 species
UAAUCACCCCCCAACAAAGGGGUAACUGAUAUUCUGCAUUAGACACGAGGAAGUAGGAUACCACCAUCUGGUGCCAGUGGGCUAGUUGGGAGGCCACCCCACCAACCACCUCAUGGGGUAGUAAAUAGGAGGCCAAUGCAGCCAUCACCUGGUGGAGCUAGUAGGUUUCACUGACCAGUGACCACCGCCACCUAGUAAUGGAAAUAGGGGGCCUAGGCCUCCACCAGGUUGUGGUAAUAAGAUGCCACUGCCAGCUGAGUAUGGCCAUGAUAGGAUUAUUUGUCAUCACAGGAAGCUUACUGUCCAAAGCUGUACAACAUUUAGUUUUAGGGGUCUUCAUUUCCCAUUUCAUUGCAUAAUUUUUUUAGGUUUUAUAAUUUCUUGUUUUUCCUUUUUGUUGUAUUCUUAUAAGUGGCACUGGCCAGUGCUUCAUAAUAAACAGUGAAGAGCUUAUUUGUACCUCUAACAUAUUUAUGGCCUCAUGAUGAAUUCUGAAGAGGAAUUGAUCGUUGGGGUAACCUGGCUCUUCCCUUUGCUCUCUUCGCGGAAUGAGUGGUUUGCCCGCUCAUUUUUUUCAGAAGAAAACGAUAGGCAACUUAAGAUCCAACGGGAAAGCCCAAUUUAUCUUAGCUGCGGCCUGCAGAUGGUUGUAUGUGUCCUGUGAUAGCAAAGCAAAGCAAAGCAACC